rnacentral:tRNA from 2 species
GACCGCAUAAUGCAGUAGAUUAGUGUGUUUGACUUUGGAUCAAAAGGUCGUGGGUUUGACUCCCACUGUGGUCG